CGGAGUUCCAACAGGCCAUACA
rnacentral:miRNA from 1 species